GUAUCCCCAGAUCCUAUUCGGGAGAUGCUUCCGGCAACCAAAAAGCCGAAGCUGAAGAAGGCCAGGAAAGCAAUGAAGGGUCUUGUUCCAGCAGUAAAACGCCUGAGAAAAUUAAAAUCUCGUUCUCCAUGAUUUUUUUGAGGUUGUUAUAUGAUGAUAUCUAGGUGACAUAUUGGUCAUACUCAUACCUUUUGUUAGUAGUUAGGAAAUUGUUCGAAGUUUAUUGUCAUAAUUGAUCUCAGGACCAUGUUUAAGGCUAAUUGAUUUGAAGUCAAGGCUAUAGCUCACUAUUAUCAUGUAAGCGAUCAUGGGUUCAUCGAUUUUUCACUGCCAAGCAAUGUUAUGAUUUAUGAG
rnacentral:lncRNA from 1 species